UGAGGAAUUUUGCGCAAUGGGAGCAAUCCUGACGCAGCAACGCCGCGUGGGUGAUGAAGGCCUUCGGGUCGUAAAGCCCUGUCAGGUGGGAAGAAUAUUCCGGGACUGAACAGGUUCCGGGAGUGACGGUACCACCAGAGGAAGCACCGGCUAACUCCGUGCCAGCAGCCGCGGUAAUACGGAGGGUGCAAGCGUUAUUCGGAAUUACUGGGCGUAAAGCGCGUGUAGGCGGUCCUGCAAGUCGGAUGUGAAAGCCCCGGGCUUAACCCUGGAAGUGCAUUGGAAACUGGGGGACUUGAGUACUGGAGAGGAUGGGGGAAUUCCCGGUGUAGAGGUGAAAUUCGUAGAGAUCGGGAGGAAUAUCAGUGGCGAAGGCGCCCAUCUGGACGGUAACUGACGCUGAGACGCGAAAGCGUGGGGAGCAAACA
rnacentral:rRNA from 1 species